UUAUUCAAUGAUUGUUUCAUGUCUUAUCUUUCUAUUUUCUUCUAUUAUCACAUCAUCUUUAAUCCUUUCUUUUUGGCUUUAGCUUUAGCUUUGGCUUUGGCUUUGGCUUUGGACUACCAAGAUCAUGCGACGAUCUUUUAUUCGGAUCGAUUUCUGUGAUCUUUCUCGGAUCGAAAUAUUCAUGAUCUUUCUCGGAUCAAAGUGGCCAUGGUCUUUCUCGGAUCAAAUCAUUCAUGAUCUUUCUCGGAUCAGAUUCUUCAUGAUCUUUCUCGGAUCAUAUUCUUUCACACAUAAGCCUGUGAGGGCUGUCCCAGGCAUAAGCUCCUGGCAAGCUAUUCCACAUGACAAGGCCAGUCCAAACCAUAUUUCUCUUUCUUUUUCAUUUUCAUGAAAUUAUAAUAUUUGACUUCAUUAAUCAAUUCAAAUUUUGCAAUGUAAU
rnacentral:lncRNA from 1 species